rnacentral:rRNA from 1 species
GACGGAGGGUGCAAGCGUUGCUCGGAAUCACUGGGCGUAAAGGGUGCGUAGGCGGUCUCGCAAGUCUGGCGUGAAAGCCCAAGGCUCAGCCUUGGAAGUGCGCUCGAAACGGCGAGGCUGGAGUGCCGGAGGGGAGAGUGGAAUUCCCGGUGUAGCGGUGAAAUGCGCAGAUAUCGGGAAGAACACCCGUGGCGAAGGCGGUUCUCUGGGACGGUACUGACGCUGAGACGCGAAAGCGUGGGGAGCGAACAGG